rnacentral:rRNA from 1 species
UACAGAGGUGGCAAGCGUUGUUCGGAAUUACUGGGCGUAAAGGGCGCGUAGGCGGUUCGUUAAGUCCUGUGUGAAAUCCCACGGCUUAACCGUGGAACUGCUUGGUAUACUGGCGGUCUUGAGCCAGCUAGGGGCUACCGGAACAAAUGGUGGGGCGGUGAAAUGCGUAGAUAUCAUUUGGAACGCCAAUGGUGAAAACAGGUAGCUGGGGCUGUGCUGACACUGAGACACGAAAGCCAGGGGAGCAAACGGG